CCAGCGACGCCGCGUGGGUGAKGAAGGCCUUCGGGUUGUAAAGCCCUUUCGUGCGGAACGAACAGUCUCGCGACUAAUACUCGCGGGAUUUGACGGUACCGCAGGAAGAKGCACCGGCUAACUCCGUGCCAGCAGCCGCGGUAAUACGGAGGGUGCAAGCGUUGUUCGGAAUUACUGGGCGUAAAGGGCGCGCAGGCGGUUGUGCAAGUCAGUUGUGAAAUCCCCCGGCUUAACCGGGGAACUGCAUCUGAAACUGCAUGACUCGAGUACAGAAGAGGGAAACGGAAUUCCCGGUGUAGAGGUGAAAUUCGUAGAUAUCGGGAGGAACACCAGUGGCGAAGGCGGUUUCCUGGUCUGAUACUGACGCUGAGGCGCGAAAGCGUGGGGAGCAAACAGGAUUAGAUACCCUGGUAGUCCACGCUGUAAACGGUGAGCACUAGGUGUGGGAGGUGUAAUACCUUCUGUGCCGUAGCAAACGCGUUAAGUGCUCCGCCUGGGAAGUACGGUCGCAAGACUAAAACUCAAAGGAAUUGACGG
rnacentral:rRNA from 1 species